rnacentral:rRNA from 1 species
CGCCUGGUAGCGGGGGAUAACUAUUGGAAACGAUAGCUAAUACCGCAUAACAGUAGAUAUUGCAUGAUAUCUGCUUGAAAGGUGCAAAUGCAUCACUACCAGAUGGACCUGCGUUGUAUUAGCUAGUUGGUGAGGUAACGGCUCACCAAGGCGACGAUACAUAGCCGACCUGAGAGGGUGAUCGGCCACACUGGGACUGAGACACGGCCCAG